AUUGAACGCUGGCGGCGGGCUUAACACAUGCAAGUCGAACGGUAACAUGGGUGCUUGCACCUGAUGACGAGUGGCGGACGGGUGAGUAAUGUAUGGGGAUCUGCCGAAUGGAAUGGGACAACAGUUGGAAACGACUGCUAAUACCGUAUAAUGUCGCGAGACCAAAGUGUAGGACUUUCGGGCCACAUGCCAUUUGAUGAACCCAUAUGGGAUUAG
rnacentral:rRNA from 1 species